UACGGGGGGGGCAAGCGUUGUUCGGAAUUACUGGGCGUAAAGGGCUCGUAGGUGGCCAACUAAGUCAGACGUGAAAUCCCUCGGCUUAACCGGGGAACUGCGUCUGAUACUGGAUGGCUAGAGAUUGGGAGAGGGAUGCGGAAUUCCAGGUGUAGCGGUGAAAUGCGUAGAUAUCUGGAGGAACACCGGAGGCGAAGGCGGGUCUCUGGGCCGAUACUGACGCUGAGACGCGAAAGCGUGGGGAGCGAACAGG
rnacentral:rRNA from 1 species